AGAUGAAGGAUAAUAAGAGAAAUGUUCCUGUAGGACAAAGGACCAGCCACUAAUCUCCAGAGUACUCCGUAUAUCCUGUGCAUCGCAACGGCUCAUUACAGACAACAAGGAGCAACAAAAAAGCAAAAUGAGAUUGAGAGCAGGGGGGUUCCUCCACCCCACCACCCUGCGUCUGGAGGCUCCUCCAGAGUAAGAGGCUGCUGCUCCAUCCUGCUCCUCCAAGAAAGUGGGUCAUGAGUCUG